CCGAGUUUACAACUCCCAAACCCCUGUGAACAUACCUAUACGUUGCCUCGGCGGAUCAGCCCGCGCCCCGUAAAAAGGGACGGCCCGCCGCAGGAACCCCUAAACUCUGUUUUUAGUGGAACUUCUGAGUAUAAACAAACAAAUAAAUCA
rnacentral:misc_RNA from 1 species